AGUAUCAACAGGUAAGCAUAUCUUCAGAUUAUCUUUGACUCUCAGUUACUUUCAGUUAUUAUAUUAUCAUUUCAGUUUCAGCUCUCAGUUAUCUUAUUGCCCUUACAUACUGGUACAUUAUUUCGUACUGACGUCUCUUUUGUCGGGGACGCUGCAUUUCAUGCCUACAGGUCCUCUUUGAUAGUUGGACAAACCCUCCCAGCAGAGAGAGUCAAACAUCAGUUUGGUUGGUAAGCUCCACUUCCCCGAAGUUGCAAGGUCUAGACCUUGCCAUCCAUUUAACCAACUAGCUAGUGAAUCAUAAGCAGCAGAUUGAGUUGUUCCAAGAUCCUCUUCUUCCCCUACCUCUACCAGUUGUAUCAGAUGUUGCAUUACAUCCUUCUCUUCCACUACCUCUUCCC
rnacentral:lncRNA from 1 species